CAGUCGCCGCGGGAAUACGGAGGGAGCUAGCGUUGUUCGGAAUUACUGGGCGUAAAGCGCGCGUAGGCGGUUACUCAAGUCAGAGGUGAAAGCCCGGGGCUCAACCCCGGAACUGCCUUUGAAACUAGGUGACUAGAAUCUUGGAGAGGUCAGUGGAAUUCCGAGUGUAGAGGUGAAAUUCGUAGAUAUUCGGAAGAACACUAGUGGCGAAGGCGACUGACUGGACAAGUAUUGACGCUGAGGUGCGAAAGCGUGGGGAGCAAACAGGAUUAGAUACCCGCGUAGUCCCUGUCUCUUAUAC
rnacentral:rRNA from 1 species